GCAGUCGACGGCAGCACGGAGAGCUUGCUCUCUGGUGGCGAGUGGCGAACGGGUGAGUAAUAUAUCGGAACGUGUCCAAUAAUGGGGGAUAACGAGUCGAAAGAUUCGCUAAUACCGCAUACGCCCUACGGGGGAAAGCAGGGGAUCGUAAGACCUUGCGUUAAUGGAGCGGCCGAUAUCUGAUUAGCUUGUUGGUGAGGUAAAGGCUCACCAAGGCGACGAUCAGUAGCUGGUUUGAGAGAACGACCAGCCACACUGGAACUGAGACACGGUCCAGACUCCUACGGGAGGCAGCAGUGGGGAAUUUUGGACAAUGGGGGCAACCCUGAUCCAGCCAUUCCGCGUGAGUGAAGAAGGCCUUCGGGCUGUAAAGCUCUUUCGCAAGGGAAGAAAACUUAUGAUCGAAUAAAUCAUGAGGUUGACGGUACCUUGAUAAGAAGCACCGGCUAACUACGUGCCAGCAGCCGCGGUAAUACGUAGGGUGCGAGCGUUAAUCGGAAUUACUGGGCGUAAAGCGUGCGCAGGCGGUUUUGUAAGUCGGAUGUGAAAUCCCCGGGCUCAACCUGGGAACUGCGUUCG
rnacentral:rRNA from 1 species